UGCAAUAUUACCAAACAACAAAAAAAUCGACAAAAAACAUAUAAUGAGCAUUCAAGACUAUAACCUCUCAAAAGUGGAUGUCACUAACAUGGAAGAGAAUACUUAUUGCAUAGUUUUAAACAUUGCGGAAGGUACUGGCUUCGAUUCAAAAUAUUUUAAAAAUUAUGUUAAAUGCGUAAUGCUGAAAGUUUCCCUGAAUGGAGUAACAUUUGAAAUAGAAGGAAAUUUCACACAACCAAACAUAAUUAUAUUUAAUAGUAAUUGUAUUUGGGAGUGCGAUUUGGAAGACGUAAAACGAAUUAAAAUGGAAAAUCGACCAGUAAAACUGGAAUGCCUUUUUAAUAAUGAUUACUACACAAAGGGAUCUAUGAAGCGUAUGGGGUCAUUAUUGUUACCUUUGCGGGGAGUAAAGAUAUUACAUAAUCUCGCAAAUUUGCAGAUUAAACCAUAUUGGUACAAGCUGAUUAAUUCAAGUACUAAAGAUUAUCAAAUGUCACCACAAAUAUAUCUUAUGUUGGCAAUUGUUAAGAAAACUAUAGUUGAUCAUAUUCA